rnacentral:rRNA from 1 species
AGUCGAGCGGACAGAAGGGAGCUUGCUCCCGGAUGUUAGCGGCGGACGGGUGAGUAACACGUGGGUAACCUGCCUGUAAGACUGGGAUAACUCCGGGAAACCGGAGCUAAUACCGGAUAGUUCCUUGAACCGCAUGGUUCAAGGAUGAAAGACGGUUUCGGCUGUCACUUACAGAUGGACCCGCGGCGCAUUAGCUAGUUGGUGAGGUAACGGCUCACCAAGGCGACGAUGCGUAGCCGACCUGAGAGGGUGAUCGGCCACACUGGGACUGAGACACGGCCCAGACUCCUACGGGAGGCAGCAGUAGGGAAUCUUCCGCAAUGGACGAAAGUCUGACGGAGCAACGCCGCGUGAGUGAUGAAGGUUUUCGGAUCGUAAAGCUCUGUUGUUAGGGAAGAACAAGUGCAAGAGUAACUGCUUGCACCUUGACGGUACCUAACCAGAAAGCCACGGCUAACUACGUGCCAGCAGCCGCGGUAAUACGUAGGUGGCAAGCGUUGUCCGGAAUUAUUGGGCGUAAAGGGCUCGCAGGCGGUUUCUUAAGUCUGAUGUGAAAGCCCCCGGCUCAACCGGGGAGGGUCAUUGGAAACUGGGAAACUUGAGUGCAGAAGAGGAGAGUGGAAUUCCACGUGUAGCGGUGAAAUGCGUAGAGAUGUGGAGGAACACCAGUGGCGAAGGCGACUCUCUGGUCUGUAACUGACGCUGAGGAGCGAAAGCGUGGGGAGCGAACAGGAUUAGAUACCCUGGUAGUCCACGCCGUAAACGAUGAGUGCUAAGUGUUAGGGGGUUUCCGCCCCUUAGUGCU